AUUAAUACUUGGAAUGUGGUUGAUCAUAUUGCCAUCUGUUUUGCAGUUGGAUGUAUUAAUACUUGGAAUGUGUGUGAUCAUAUUGCCAGUGUUUGCUUAUUUUUUUACAGCACUUGCACUGUGAAGUCAAUGAAAUCGGGUUCCUUUUGUCCAGUUUAUAAAAUUUCAUAUCAGUGCAGAAGUAUGAAUCAUGAUAAUUUUAUGUUUGUGUUGAACUGUUAGAGGCUACAAUUGUUUUAUGUGAAAUCAUUUACUUUCAUCAUAAUGAGUUUACUUCUAGGACAGUGCAACCUUUAAAGGGAAAGGAUACAUUCAGGCCAAAAAAAAAAAGGGGAAGGGAUACAUCCAUUCUUUUGUUUAAGAUCAAAACUAUUUAUGAGUCAUAUUUAUAAGCAAGUGUUUAUAUUAGGAGGUGGUAUGUUGACUAAGCUUUUCAGUUAAAAGGUGGAGGUGUCUUUGAGGUUUAAUACAAUACAUAGGUGGAUUCUGUAAUAUUAGAUUAGAUUUUCAAAAUUUUUAGUACGUUAGGUCCAGUUUUGGGGGAUUCAUCUCUCUCUUUAUUCCCUUAUUUGUUUCAUUUUCUCUUAUUUUGGGGAUUCGCUCUCUGUUCUGUCUAUUUGUUCUUUGUUUUAAGGUCAGUUGCUUUUUUUUUUUUUGGGUUUUUAGUUCAUUACUUUGUUUAGUUGUUGUUAAUUUUACAGUUUAAUUGUUUCCCCUAAUCUGGAUUGUUAAGUUUUGGACCUUUUUUUUUCCCAAAAUCCACAUGAACUGAGCUUUAGUGCUUAAAAGAGACCUGAGUUUUAUUUUGUGCUGGAGUUUAUAAUGUAUUUAGAUUGGGAACACAAUCUUUGUUGAAUUCUAAGUUUUUAUCCACUUUUGCAUUUUUCCCCUUCAAUGGUUUCAAUUAAUUGUUGUUUUAGUAUAACUAUUGCUCUUUAAGCUGCGAAAUUAGGUGUAAGAAAAUCUUUUGUGUACUUAUGUGGAAUUGUUGAUUUCCAUGGAAGCUAAGGAUGUGUGUAAUUGUAUUGUGGGCUUUUGGAUCUGUUGGCUUUUCUGUUUUGAUCAAAAUUGUUGAUUUCUUUUGUGGAAUUGAGUUUUAGACUAGAAUCGGAGACGUGGGUGCUUGAGAACGUUUAAUUUUUACAUGCAUUGUAAAGUGUUUGUAAUUGUAAACAUGUUUGAAUCUUAUACUUUCUAUUAUUUUUUUCUUUUUUUGUUUGCAUUUUUUAGGCAAGCAAAAUGAUGUAAACUGGCGAUUUAUGGUGGCUUUGAAAGGGUGACUUGCUUUUAUAAAGUUCUGGAAGAUAAACUGCUUUGGAGCCAGAAGCACUCAGUAGCUAGAACAGCAGCCUUUCUCUCCCUUAUCGGAAAAUGGAUGCUUUCAAGGUGAGCUGAAAUGCUCUUAAUUUCAAGUAAUGGGUUUGUGUUACUGUGCAGAUCUGCCGAACUUCGCAUUUAGUUUCUUGGAAUUGUUAUUUUUUUUUUCAAUUAUAUAUUUUAGUGCUAUUAUGUUUGUCGUUCAAUGCUGGAAAAUUGGAAAGCUCUGGAAACAAUAUAGUUUUUGAGCUAAUGUGAAGAUUUUGGGUUGAAUACUUUGAUUCCGUUUUUCUAUUUGCACUUAGAAAAAAAGAGGAUUGUGGUUAAUUAUUGUGAUGUGAAGAUUAUUCAUGGUUUGAAAACCCACAGCAAAGCGCGGGCAUUCUUGCUAGUGGCUUCUAAAACGCUUGCAUGGAAAUGACAUUCCUAAUCGACAUAAGAAACGGUAGACAUGAACCUACUCAUUUUCUCCAACUAGAAAGGUUGCACCUGGGAGUUACGGCGUCGAAUCAGGAUGGCAGUGUGACUUCCACUUUGGUUAUGGUCGUGGUGUAAUACAUCUCGUUUCUUCUUCAUUCGAGUCAUUGUUCCUCAUCAUGUCUGUUUGUACUUUAAUAUUCGCGCACCUUUUUUUUUCUUUUUUCUUUUUCGUAUGGUUAUACAUAGAUCUGUUAGAAGAAGCGGAAGAUGAGAAAUGGUGCGUACAUGUGUUGAAGAUAUUGAUAAAAAAAGGCAGAUACUGAAAUUGAUGAACUUGAAAAAGAUUUGAUGUCUCUUCAAAGUUAACUAGCCUGGGCUGAGCAGGAAGAAUGGUCCGAAAUAUGGGUCCGAAAUAUGUUGAGUGCAUUGAGAGCAAAGAUUGCUUGCAUCGACACUUCAAUAAGGAGUUUGAAAAGUAAAGAUAUGAACAAUAUCGCGGUUCAGUUACUUACGCGGAGAGAACCUGCAGAGAAUAUACAAGAGAUACUGAAGGCUCUUAUGCAAAAAUAUUUCCCAAAGAAAUAUGAGCAGGUGAAACUCAUUCUUUGCUUAUAUGUUGCUUCUUGGUUUUGCAUUUUCGGAGAACAUAAGGUUGUCUGGUUGCCUUUAGCGAUGCUUUUGAAUCGGGUUUAAAUUACAGAUACUAAUCAAUACAGGUCCUGGAAGCUCUAUACUAUCCCUUUGUUCUUUAACUCAUACCUAUAGGUUGUUCAAAUUUCGAUGGAUAUGCUUAAAACUUUAGGGUAAGCUACUUAAAGCCUUUUGAGUAUGUAGCUCUUAUAAGCUGUUUGUGACUUCUUACAAUGUAGCAUGACUGCAGUAAUAUUUCGGAAUGUGUGUGUAUCUCCCUCUGUAUC